CCUACGGGUGGCUGCAGUGAGGAAUAUUGGUCAAUGGGCGAAAGCCUGAUGGAGCAACGCCGCGUGCAGGAUGAAGGCCUUCGGGUUGUAAACUGCUUUUAUAAGCGAGAAAUAUGAUGGUAACUUAUGAAUAAGGAUCGGCUAACUACGUGCCAGCAGCCGCGGUCAUACGUAGGAUCCGAGCAUUAUCCGGAGUGACUGGGUGUAAAGAGUUGCGUAGGUGGCAUAGUAAGUAGCUAGUGAAAUCUGGUGGCUCAACCAUUCAGACUAUUAGCUAAACUGCUAAGCUCGAGACCGUUAGGGGUAACUGGAAUUUCUAGUGUAGGAGUGAAAUCCGUAGAUAUUAGAAGGAACACCGGUUGCGAAGGCGGCUCUCUGGACUGUAACUGACACUGAGGCACGAAAGCGUGGGGAGCAAACAGGAUUAGAUACCCCAGUAGUC
rnacentral:rRNA from 1 species